CUAAAGCAGCGAUGCUCUUUGGGAUGGGCUUGCGGCCUAUCAGCUAGUUGGUGAGGUAACGGCUCACCAAGGCGACGACGGGUAGCUGGUCUGAGAGGAUGGUCAGCCGGACUGGGACUGAGACACGGCCCAGACUCCUACGGGGGGCAGCAAUUAGGAAUCUUGCGCAAUGGGGGAAACCCUGACGCAGCGACGCCGCGUGAAGGAUGACGGCCUUCGGGUUGUAAACUUCUUUUAAGAGGGAAGAAGUAAGUGACGGUACCUCUUGAAUAAGCCCCGGCUAACUACGUGCCAGCAGCCGCGGUAAUACGUAGGGGGCGAGCGUUGUCCGAAGUUACUGGGCGUAAAGCGCGCGUAGGCGGGUUAUUAAGUUGGAUGUGAAAUCUCCGGGCUCAACUCGGAAACCGCAUUCAAAACUGGUAGCCUUGAGGUAUGGAGAGGGAAGUGGAAUUCCUGGUGUAGCGGUGAAAUGCGUAGAUAUCAGGAGGAACACCCGUGGCGAAGGCGGCUUCCUGGUCAUAUCCUGACGCUGAGGUGCGAAAGCUAGGGGAGCGAACGGGAUUAGAUACCCCGGUAGUCCUAGCCGUAAACGAUGGAUACUAGGUGUUAGUGGUAUCGACCCCACUAGUGCCGCAGCUAACGCAAUAAGUAUCCCGCCUGGGGAGUACGGCCGCAAGGUUGAAACUCAAAUGAAUUGACGG
rnacentral:rRNA from 1 species